rnacentral:rRNA from 1 species
UACAGAGGGUGCGAGCGUUAAUCGGAAUUAUUGGGCGUAAAGCGUGCGUAGGUGGUUAGGUAAGUUAGAUGUGAAAUCCCCGGGCUCAACCUGGGAAUUGCGUUUAAAACUAUUUGACUAGAGUAUUGUAGAGGAUAGUGGAAUUUCCAGUGUAGCGGUGAAAUGCGUAGAUAUUGGAAGGAACACCAGUGGCGAAGGCGACUAUCUGGGCAAAUACUGACACUGAGGCACGAGAGCAUGGGGAGCAAACAGG